GGGAUUGGCUGCAUCGUCAGGAAGGGGGAGUGGCUGAAGAAGCUGGGAGUUGGCCUGGCCUAUGACUAUGUGGGAACCAAGGACAGCAUCAUGAUCUGCAUCUCUGACCUCACGGUGACCACCCACCUGCUGGACAUGACCAGCCCCCUGGCCAUCACCAGCCUGACAGCACCCACCACGACAUGGUCGUCACGAGGCUGGGAGACAAGCUGGACGGGGUGCUCUGUGACGGAGACUCCACGGAACUCGUGUCCUCCACUGUUGUCAUCUGCACCAAGAUUGAUGAAGGUA